ensembl:lncRNA
GUAGAGUCUCACUUAUCCAACAUAAACGGGCUGGUAGAAUGUUGGAUAAGCGAAUAUGUUGGAUAAUAAGGAGGCAUUAAGGAAAAGCCUAUUAAACAUCAAAUUAGGUUAUGCUUGUUCCUUUUGUUUUUUUUCGUGUCAGGAGCAACCGGAGUUGCUUCUGGAGUGAGAGAAUUGGCCGUCUGCAAGGAUGUUGCCCAGGGGACGCCCGGAUGUUUUUGAUGUUUUUACCAUCCUUGUGGGAGGCUUCUCUCGUGUCCCCGCAUGGAGCUGGAGCUGAUAGAGGGAGCACAUCCACACUCUCCCCAGGUGGGAUUCGAACCUGGCAGCUUUCAGGUCAGCAACCCAACCUUCAAGUCACUUAGUCCACUACGCCAUCUGGGGGCUCUUCUUGUUCCUAGAAACGACCAUUACAACUACUUGAUGGCAUCUGGCUCCUUAACUGGAGCUAAUAGAGUCCCUUCUGCUCUAACAGGGAAUUUUAUGACUGCAAAGAACCCCUGAUACUCAGAAGAUAUUCCCCAUAGAUUAGGUGAUACACAUCAGUGAGGUCUUUCUGUUUAGUCUAUUUUUCUUGGCCAUCUUAUCUCAACACAUUUUCCCAAUCCUUCAAAGGGGAAAUCCAUCAAGUUGGAAUGAGCAAAUGAAGGGCAGAGGUUUAAUAACCCUCCCCUGGCUCCUUCCUAGUUAUGGCCUUAUUGGUUUAAAAAGGACUGAUAGGGCAUUUCAUCUGUAAUAUGCAACACUUACUCCCCUUUGUUACUCUUGACAUCUGUUGUGUACCACUUUACAGUAGUGGCUGUCAACAAUUGUCAUUUUAAAGGGAGGCAUAUAUGUACAGAUAAAUUCAUAUAAAACUGUAUGCACAUUAUUCAUCACAGUUGAGCUAUGUUGCCGUUAUUGUUGAAGUAUAUGCAUGUACAUUUGGGUUUCUGAGAAACUAUUUACAUAAACAUAUUCAGAGUGAUAUAUGGCUGCUGUGCAACACAUUUUUACCAUCAAAAGGGAAACAUUUUCUUCCUUUUUUGUUUACUGGUUUCUCAUCUUUCUCUUACUACCUCAUUAAGGUUAAUGGAAAUACAUCAAUUUCCAAUGUGCUCAUACAACUUUGAAGUACCUUGGAAGCAAGCAAUCAUAAGCAUAAAUAUAUGUUUGCAGGAAUAGAAACAAAAUAGUUUUUAGUGGUUGUUUUUCUUCAGUGGACAAUAUGUAUGUGUAUGUAUUUGUGUCCUUUUGAUUUCUGAAUGGGGCGGGAAUGAAACUUUUCUCAAUGAUUGUGUGAUGUAAACAUAUAUGUAACAUACUUCUCAGAAAACACAGAAGCAACUGUGUUUGUAAAGGGCUGUAAAGCUGAGAUCCUAAAGAUUUAGGAGCUGUUGAUGUAAUUAACUGUGAUGAACCCUAAAACAAUCUGGAUUUGGUCUGGAAAAUAUCGGCUCAUCUUCUUCAUGGAUGAGGCAUGAGAGAAAAUGCAAUCCGUUUUUACUAGGAUUCUGGAAUAUCAAAUCCUCUAAGAUUACUCUCAUCGAAAAGUAUGUGAGAGAUAUUUGACAAUGAACAUUAUCAUGAAGUUUUUUUGUAAUAGCAACACUAGAAUUAAUAGUAGCUGCUUGAAAACAUUGCACUACUGAAUUGUAUGGGAUUCACUUUAGAACUUCCAAUUAGCUUGUGAUCUGUACUUACCUAUCAGAGCAAGACAGUUGACAUUUUGACCAUAUUGGCUGGAGAUGCGGAGUUUUUAUCAACAUCUCUAGAGGAUACCAGAUUAGGGAAAUGUAUAGAAUGUUUUGAAUAGAAUGUUUUUUUCUAAUGAAAUGAUCUACGAGGCAGAAAUAAAUAUUUUCCACAUCAAACUAAUGAAUUGACUAAACAUUUUUGAGAUAUAUUUCUACAUCAAAUCUAUUACCUCCUAACAAGAAAGGAUAUCUUCAACAGCUUUAGGAAAAAAAAACAACAACCUCCAAGAUGGAUGCUAGUAGCACUUGUCAAGGUACAAAUUUUGGUGAUUUGGAAGGUUUCCUGGUCUUGUGGGGAAUAAUGUUCUAUUUAAAGCUUUAUUUCAUUCAAUGUUUUGAUUCCUUCCCAUGGAAAAUUUCACCAUUUUAAAGAGCUUCAAUUGCAGAUUUAGUUUCAGACAUAAACUGGGAUACCAAUAUUUUUUACCGUUGAUCAUCUAAAAAUGGGUGUUCCAUUUUGUCCCCAACAAUUGAGAUUGCUUUCUUAGAUUAAAGUUUCAUUCUAGAACAAAGAGCUGAGCAGAAUUGCUUAAACUGAUCAUUAAUUGCUUUCUGAAAAACAGAAGCUAUCACAGAAUGUCUUUAAUUACAGCAAUACAACUACAUCUGUGUAUCUUUUGAAGACACAAAGCUAACAUUUUUAAAUUCUUUUUAUUCCAUUUUCAAUAAUUCUAUCUCAUACAUGUCAAGGCAAAUUUGUUGGUUUCAUGUCUGUCUUUGAUACAUUUAACAUAAUUCUCAGAGGUAAUGUAUGUUUCUCAGAAGAAAUAAUAUACUGAUUUCUGCUUUUU